rnacentral:rRNA from 1 species
GCGAUAAGCGUCGGUGAGGUGAUAUGAACCGUUAUAACCGGCGAUUUCCGAAUGGGGAAACCCAGUGUGUUUCGACACACUAUCAUUAACUGAAUCCAUAGGUUAAUGAGGCGAACCGGGGGAACUGAAACAUCUAAGUACCCCGAGGAAAAGAAAUCAACCGAGAUUCCCCCAGUAGCGGCGAGCGAACGGGGAGGAGCCCAGAGCCUGAAUCAGUGUGUGUGUUAGUGGAAGCGUCUGGAAAGGCGUGCGAUACAGGGUGACAGCCCCGUACACAAAAAUGCACAUAUUGUGAGCUCGAUGAGUAGGGCGGGACACGUGGUAUCCUGUCUGAAUAUGGGGGGACCAUCCUCCAAGGCUAAAUACUCCUGACUGACCGAUAGUGAACCAGUACCGUGAGGGAAAGGCGAAAAGAACCCCGGCGAGGGGAGUGAAAAAGAACCUGAAACCGUGUACGUACAAGCAGUGGGAGCCUCUUAAUGGGGUGACUGCGUACCUUUUGUAUAAUGGGUCAGCGACUUAUAUUCUGUAGCAAGGUUAACCGAAUAGGGGAGCCGAAGGGAAACCGAGUCUUAACUGGGCGUUAAGUUGCAGGGUAUAGACCCGAAACCCGGUGAUCUAGCCAUGGGCAGGUUGAAGGUUGGGUAACACUAACUGGAGGACCGAACCGACUAAUGUUGAAAAAUUAGCGGAUGACUUGUGGCUGGGGGUGAAAGGCCAAUCAAACCGGGAGAUAGCUGGUUCUCCCCGAAAGCUAUUUAGGUAGCGCCUCGUGAAUUCAUCUCCGGGGGUAGAGCACUGUUUCGGCAAGGGGGUCAUCCCGACUUACCAACCCGAUGCAAACUGCGAAUACCGGAGAAUGUUAUCACGGGAGACACACGGCGGGUGCUAACGUCCGUCGUGAAGAGGGAAACAACCCAGACCGCCAGCUAAGGUCCCAAAGUCAUGGUUAAGUGGGAAACGAUGUGGGAAGGCCCAGACAGCCAGGAUGUUGGCUUAGAAGCAGCCAUCAUUUAAAGAAAGCGUAAUAGCUCACUGGUCGAGUCGGCCUGCGCGGAAGAUGUAACGGGGCUAAACCAUGCACCGAAGCUGCGGCAGCGACACUAUGUGUUGUUGGGUAGGGGAGCGUUCUGUAAGCCUGUGAAGGUGGCCUGUGAGGGUUGCUGGAGGUAUCAGAAGUGCGAAUGCUGACAUAAGUAACGAUAAAGCGGGUGAAAAGCCCGCUCGCCGGAAGACCAAGGGUUCCUGUCCAACGUUAAUCGGGGCAGGGUGAGUCGACCCCUAAGGCGAGGCCGAAAGGCGUAGUCGAUGGGAAACAGGUUAAUAUUCCUGUACUUGGUGUUACUGCGAAGGGGGGACGGAGAAGGCUAUGUUGGCCGGGCGACGGUUGUCCCGGUUUAAGCGUGUAGGCUGGUUUUCCAGGCAAAUCCGGAAAACCAAGGCUGAGGCGUGAUGACGAGGCACUACGGUGCUGAAGCGACAAAUGCCCUGCUUCCAGGAAAAGCCUCUAAGCAUCAGGUAACAUCAAAUCGUACCCAAAACCGACACAGGUGGUCAGGUAGAGAAUACCAAGGCGCUUGAGAGAACUCGGGUGAAGGAACUAGGCAAAAUGGUGCCGUAACUUCGGGAGAAGGCACGCUGAUAUGUAGGUGAAGCGACUUGCUCGUGGAGCUGAAAUCAGUCGAAGAUACCAGCUGGCUGCAACUGUUUAUUAAAAACACAGCACUGUGCAAACACGAAAGUGGACGUAUACGGUGUGACGCCUGCCCGGUGCCGGAAGGUUAAUUGAUGGGGUUAGCGGUAACGCGAAGCUCUUGAUCGAAGCCCCGGUAAACGGCGGCCGUAACUAUAACGGUCCUAAGGUAGCGAAAUUCCUUGUCGGGUAAGUUCCGACCUGCACGAAUGGCGUAAUGAUGGCCAGGCUGUCUCCACCCGAGACUCAGUGAAAUUGAACUCGCUGUGAAGAUGCAGUGUACCCGCGGCAAGACGGAAAGACCCCGUGAACCUUUACUAUAGCUUGACACUGAACAUUGAGCCUUGAUGUGUAGGAUAGGUGGGAGGCUUUGAAGUGUGGACGCCAGUCUGCAUGGAGCCGACCUUGAAAUACCACCCUUUAAUGUUUGAUGUUCUAACGUUGGCCCGUAAUCCGGGUUGCGGACAGUGUCUGGUGGGUAGUUUGACUGGGGCGGUCUCCUCCUAAAGAGUAACGGAGGAGCACGAAGGUUGGCUAAUCCUGGUCGGACAUCAGGAGGUUAGUGCAAUGGCAUAAGCCAGCUUGACUGCGAGCGUGACGGCGCGAGCAGGUGCGAAAGCAGGUCAUAGUGAUCCGGUGGUUCUGAAUGGAAGGGCCAUCGCUCAACGGAUAAAAGGUACUCCGGGGAUAACAGGCUGAUACCGCCCAAGAGUUCAUAUCGACGGCGGUGUUUGGCACCUCGAUGUCGGCUCAUCACAUCCUGGGGCUGAAGUAGGUCCCAAGGGUAUGGCUGUUCGCCAUUUAAAGUGGUACGCGAGCUGGGUUUAGAACGUCGUGAGACAGUUCGGUCCCUAUCUGCCGUGGGCGCUGGAGAACUGAGGGGGGCUGCUCCUAGUACGAGAGGACCGGAGUGGACGCAUCACUGGUGUUCGGGUUGUCAUGCCAAUGGCACUGCCCGGUAGCUAAAUGCGGAAGAGAUAAGUGCUGAAAGCAUCUAAGCACGAAACUUGCCCCGAGAUGAGUUCUCCCUGACUCCUUGAGGGUCCUGAAGGAACGUUGAAGACGACGACGUUGAUAGGCCGGGUGUGUAAGCGCAGCGAUGCGUUGAGCUAACCGGUACUAAUGAACCGUGAGGCUUAACCUU